CCCAUCUCCACUUCACCACGGCAGUCUUUUACCAGCCCAGUGCUGACUGGUGUGCUCGGAGAAUGUCUGACCAGGGUCUCCAGCUUCAGGUGACAUUUAAAAAGUCCCAACUGUCUCAGCUUGGGCUACAAUAGCGUGGCCCUGAUGAGGGAGCAGGCUCUGAGAAGGAGCCCCCAGAGUGGCCAGUCUAGGAGGCCAGUCUCCCUCCUAGUCUAUGGUGAUUGCAGAGGAGUCCCAGGUGUUGGGAAAGACUGCGUUGGGCACGCAGCCCAGCUCAGAACUGCUUGGCGGGGACAUUUUCAUGACAUGCGCCUUAGAGUCUGGGUAUGGGGAGAACUAGGGCUGAAGACCCAGCCUCCAAGUCACUACCAAGAUUCCCCAGGUGACGUCCAGUUCCUUCUGCCACUGUGGAUGCAGCUCAGGAAGGCCUCAGGGCGGCAGGCCAGCUCUCCCCACUACAACCCGACCCUGCUGAGGACAUCGGUGUGGUUCUGGGAGAAGACAUGACUCUCCUGAGCUAGAGACUGUUCCAGAGCAGGUCGUCUGAGGGCCCCAUAUCACCCACUAGCUCCCACACUGUUGUUGCAGGGUCUACAAAGGGGCUUCUUGUGAAACCAGGACUCUCUGGGCUUCAGAACCAGCAGCCUGCUGUUCAGAUUUAGGCCGCUGAACAGCAAUUGAUCUGCAGGAGGUGGUCCUUGGGAGAAUUCAUGGAGAAAAAUCCACCCUUAAUCAUGCUAUUUAUAAUUCUUUCAUAUGCUUCGAGGAGGACUCAGGACAAUGAGAAGCUCAGCCCAUCCUCCCCAGAGAGGUCCUUGCUUUAUAAGCUCACUUGUCAUUGUGUUUUGAAGCCCAUGGAUUUGUUCCGUAUGUAACUGACCGAGGGACCUUGGCAGCGUUACAGAGGAGCGCAGAUCUCUGCCUCAUCUGCCAGGCAGUCAUCGGGCUCUGUCUUCAGUACCAUCAAGGACUGGGGACUCUGUCUCCCUUUCCUGUUGAAAGAAAAGACUGUCCUGACCCCGCCCAGCCUUUCCUACAGUCCUCGUGAUGAGCUGGAGCCCACACUCUGGGGUCCUUGACUCCCACCGCUGACACCAUAAUUUCUUUAUCUAAGGCAAACUGCAGCCCCCUUCCCUCACGGGUGUUACCCUGUCUCUGCCAACCACCCUCCUCCUUUGUUCUGACUUAUUCAUGGGACAUGAGUUGUGGCUCAUUUGGAGCCUCUGGGAUCGCCUCAGGUGAGGAGCCUCAGCUUGUUUCCGUGUAACCUACCUUUGAGGUGUCUUCCUGUAUGCUCCAUGGGUUAUAGCCCCCAUACUCUACGGUCCAUAGAUAGCUGCUGGUGGUAUAAUGGUGAGCAUAGCUGGUU
rnacentral:lncRNA from 1 species